CCUACGGGUGGCAGCAGUGGGGAAUAUUGCACAAUGGGGGAAACCCUGAUGCAGCGACGCCGCGUGAGCGAUGAAGUAUUUCGGUAUGUAAAGCUCUAUCAGCAGGGAAGAAGAUGACGGUACCUGACUAAGAAGCCACGGCUAACUACGUGCCAGCAGCCGCGGUACUACGUAGGGGGCAAGCGUUAUCCGGAUUUACUGGGUGUAAAGGGAGCGUAGACGGCGAUGCAAGCCAGAUGUGAAAGCCCGGGGCUCAACCCCGGGACUGCAUUUGGAACUGUGUGGCUGGAGUGGCGGAGAGGCAGGCGGAAUGCCUAGUGUAGCGGUGAAAUGCGUAGAUAGUAGGAGGAACACCAGUGGCGAAGGCGGCCUGCUGGACGAUGACUGACGUUGAGGCUCGAAAGCGUGGGGAGCAAACAGGAUUAGAUACCCGAGUAGUC
rnacentral:rRNA from 1 species